ACAUGAGGACACAGCGAGAAGACAACUCCCUAUAAACUAGCCUCCAGAACAGUGAGGAAUAAACUUCUGUUGUUUUUAAGCCACCCCGUCUAUGGUACUUCAGCAGCCUGAACUAAGACACCAUUUCAAAAUGGUGGUCAGGGCAUAUGAAAGAUCCCAUCACAGUUAUAAAAAAGUAUACAUACCUACCACAAUUCAAAGACUAUCAUGGGCCUGAGAGGUUUCAACAAAUAUCUGAAGCUGUAAAAGGAUGAGGAAAUACUAGCUGACAGAGCUUACAGCCUCAGAGGGAGAGCUGCUGCUGAAGAGGGCGAUAAGUGACUUACCCAGGGAAAGAGGCUCCAGACUCAGAAAAAGCAAGUACAUACAAUAUGGGCCAGAAAGGACAACACGAGUGGAAAGGAGAAGAUUAACUGAAAAGUCUGAGUAUCAACAACUGUUACUUCCAUGCCUAAGUCCUAUCUUUAUAAGAAACAACAAACCUUAUAGGACCCCAGGCAAAAACAAAAACUUUAAAAAGGGAAAUGAUUCUCUUAAGAAAUUAAACAAAAUGUCUGGGAGAACUAAACAGCUAGUGCAUCUGUUAGUCUGAGAACCCCAAAGUCAAGCCCUCCUCACUCUGAUACUUAGCAAGUCUCCAACACGAGGGCUGGCUCUGUGCCACCAGAAGGAGGCUACCGGUGGCAAUACGCAGCCACACAUACAGAGUGCCACAUCAUCUUUAUAUGAAUGAACAGUUAAGGAUAAAGAUCCAUUUAAAGAAACCCUGCAGUGUGAAAGUGGAAAACCAAAAUAAACAAUUAAAAGACCCUGGAAGAAACAGAAAAUUCAAAGGAAUAAAGCUAUUUCAUUGAGAACCCCCAAGACAACCUUUAUUAGUGCUCCUAAAAAAUAUUUGAUAAUUACACCCACAUAAGAACAACAACAGGAGUUCCCAUCAUGGUUUGGUGGAAAAAAAUCUAACUAGCAUCCAUGAGGAUGCAGGUUCGAUCCCUGGCAUCUCUCAGUGGGUUAAGGAUCCAGCACUGCCGUGAGCUGUGGUGUAGGUUGCAGAUAUCCUUAACCCACUGAGCAAGGCCAGGGAUCAAACCCACAACCUCAUGGUUUUUAGUCGGAUUCAUUAACCACUGAGCCACAGUGGGAACUCCCAUAUUGUUUUUAAAACAUCAAUAUAAUACUCUAUGUGUAAUGUAAAGGAGAACCUAAAAAGAAAAACAAUUUUUAAUAAUAUUUCAAUAUGUAAACAAUUUUCAGGUCCAAUUAACUGUGUAAUGAAAUAGAUGCAUAUUGUUUACUUAUAUAAAGAAUAAACUUGAAUUAAGAGAAGUCAAAUCAGAAGAGUCCCAUAUUAAAAGCACAGGAAAACAAAAGAAAGGAAUAGGCGGACAACAGAAAUGAAAGUGAAUAUAUUCUGUGUAUAUUAAAAGUAUGAAAACAUUUGUGUUUUUAUAUAAAACGGGCUUAAGCCUAGGCUCAGAUAAUUAUAAACUAAUUUUUCACUGCGUGAAUAUCCAACAGGAUAGCUGAAACUCAUGUGGGAGACGGGUCAACACUUUCUGUCUUUUCCACUGUGAGACAUUUAAAAUCUGAUUCCCAUCCAUCCAAUGCCCUACCACUGCAGGAUCCAACAGGGUCCCAGAUUUCUACUAUGCCCUCUAGGGGGCGGCACUGCUCCCAUGAAAACCCCUGGUUGAUGACCUAUGGGCGUUUCCUUCUAGCCUUCAGUCUAUCACAGAGAAGCAAAUCCUGAAGACAAAUUCAGCAACAUCCCUGAGAAAAAUACUGAUUCAACAUGGCAAAUGACUAUAAAAAAUGAAUUGAGACGUACGUCAUUAACUAUAGCCAUAUUCAACAUUAUUUCCACUUUCUGAAUUCAAGAGGAUUGGUUACUCCAUAUAGACAUGGAGUGAAAAGCUAUAGUUCUGUGUCAUUUAUUUAGAUAGCACAAAGUGAUUCUGAGUUUAGAAUUUUUCUUCUCAACUAGUUAAUUAAUGAUGAAAAGGGAAUUUUUCACAGAGCUCUACAACUCUCAUUUCCUCAAAACAAGAAUUAAUGCAUUCUUUCAUAUGUGGUCAUUACAGGAAGGGGGGGGGAGCCAUUUACUGUAAAUGCCUUUCUGAUGCAAUUCUACCACCUCUUUCAAAGAGGGAAUUCAUCCAAGAAGCCUUAGUCACUUCUUCAAGAAAAAUGCCACUGCACUGAACAUACACAGGCGGAAUCCCCUGCCCGAGGAGAGGAGCAGAGCUGGUCUCACCAGGAGAAAACAGGGAGGAGUGGCAGGGGGAGAGAUCGCACAGCUUCUUCCUCAGAACAGAUGUCUCAAAAUGUGGCCUUUAUACAGGAAAAGUCUGACACAUCUAUAACAUCACUGCUUUGUAAAUCAGAUGCAAACACCAAUUUUCCCCACCCAACUUUUAAGGCCCUUCUUCCCCAAAAAAAUAUGAGACUUCUGUUCUGAACCAGGAACCUAUGUAUAAUUAGUAUCUGAGCAACUAUAGUUAUUUCAUUUUAAAAACUUCACACACAGAAGGAAAAAUGAAAUCCUAUACUUAAAUAUUUGAAAAUGAAAUUACAUUUUGAAGCGGGUGAAUUUCACAGUAAAGAGAUGAUGACAUACAGUGUAAUACUACAAAGCAAUUCAGAGGAAAAAGAAACUUAAGACAAAUAGUUCUGAGCUCUUUACAAACAGAGGACUAAUUUUUCUAAAAUCUGAAACCCACCCCAAGGGAAAAGAGGGAACUAUUUCUCCAAUUAAUCCUUACCUGGAUUUCCACUGAUUCUUUUAACAGCCAGAUGUACCCUCUUGCUUCUAUGGAGGAGUCAAUGUAAAGCCCAAAGCCCAGAAGUCACCCGAUCAAGACCGUUUGCUGCUGGAGCCCAAAAUCCCCUUGAUGAAUAAAACUGCACAUCGUAAUAUACACGUUCUGAGCAAGCUAUUGGUUAAAUGAAGGCAAUGCGUGUGGAAGUCUGAUUUGCCACCUUCGGGGCAUGCCUCUCAUAUCCCAUCUCAGAAAGACGAAAGACACACCACAUCUGAGUGAGUCAAAACUAGACAGGGUUCAUUUCUUCUGCAGCAUUCUCCCCAACACUACGGAAACCACAGGAAGGACCAACCACAGCGAGAUAGGACUCCCUCAGCAGGCAAAGUCAAUGAAGAAUUAUGUCGACACUGCAAUUCACAAAUAAAUCUCAGGCCACUGCCAGAGUUUUCUGUGUUAUGUGACUGCUUAAGAGUUAUAUAUAAGGACAAGCAUGGGACACAUAUCUUCAAGCCAAGAAUUCUGAGCCAUGGUUUAGGGGUGCAGAAUUAACAAGGAGUGGUAACAAUUCUCCAAAGAAGUUUUAAUCUUUAGGCUACACUGAUGAUCUACCAAGAAAAAUGGAGCAAUGGUGUAACUGAUCUUCUUGGAAUGAGGGGUUUUCAACAUGCAGUUCUUGGACCAUGUGCACCAGGGUGACCUAAGGUUGACUCAAGAGUAUCUGAAGUGGAGCCCGGGAAUCUGCAGGUUAUUCUUAAAUCCUUUCAAGCUGGAGGACGGUGCUUCCUGCCAGCAGAAUGAACAGCUGAUUAUAGCUGCUACCAUCUUCCCUGCUCCUCAUUCAGUUAUCUUGUCCCGUACUCCCGCUGAAAUCAGGAGCAGUAAGGACAUGAAAGCCACCUCAGUCCAGAGGCUUUCAUUCCAGGGGAAAGGAGAGCCUGCCUGGGUUCGCCUGGCCUCUCCUCCACACCCAGCUCUCCAUCUCCACUGAGACACAAGCUCAGGCUACAGUCCUUGAGGCUGAAUGUGAACAUAACAUCCAAAGAUGCUCCCCCUGGAAAACAAAAAGACGCUGCUAAGAACAAGAGGAGGAAAAUGAGGAGAGAGGAAACUCAUGUUUACUGACGACUCACAAUGUUGCAGGCACCACAUCAAGAACUUUAUAGACAAUUUUCGUUGUCAUAGAAGUCUCACCAAAAACCCCAAAACCAAAACAAAAAUCCCUUCUUCAGAAGAGUAUGAACAUACAAACUUGGAGUCUCUGUAGAGAACGCACUGCUGGUAGGGCCCUGCCGGCAAUGCAUUCCUCCACGCAAGACUUCCCUCAGCCACAUGUGCUCAGCUCCACCCCCAUUAUCCUCUAAACAUAAAGGGGUUUUUAAAAGGAAACUAAGAAACACUGUCAGAAAUGUACUUAAAAUGAUAUCACCUUUCCAUAUUUCUAGUUCUUGGUUCCUUAUUUAUCCAACGUAAGAUCGUGUAAACUUUCAGAAAGUUCAGAGUCCUUUUCCCCCCAUCCAUUCUACAUUUAACUUGUCGAUUCACUGCAGUCCAAAGUGCUGAGCAGGGAGGGGGGGAGCCCCAUCGUUAUAAUAUGUACAGAAAAAUGUUAUUUGAACAUCACCAAUGAGUAUGAGAAUUAUGUUUACUUUAAUAAAAGAGGUUUUACUUGUUUAUCCAACAUGCACAGACUUUCUAAGAAAACAUUCUGGCGGAGGCAGCCCAACUUGGAGAGCAGCAGGUUGAUGAACAAGCCCUUCCAAGUGCUCUCCCCUCUGUGUCUCAGGAGGACGCUGCUCUCUGACAUCCUAACAUAGUCACAGGAAGCUGACUUUCUAUCUUUAACUUUUCAUUGUUAGCCGACCCAGUGUGUUUGGUGUUCCAACUAUUUUGCCUAAUAGGUAAAAUCUGCAUCUGUUAGGGCAGCGGUUCUCUUAUGCCCCCAAAUGAAAUCUUAGGUGAAAACCUAACACAGGCACAAGAUGAAAGCAGAGCAGCCUCGCUGAUGUGGUGGGCUAGAGGAUACAAAGCCCUCCAGAAUAGGGCCUGCUGACUCAUCUCAUCCCUCAGUGUGGCUAUGAGGCAACACUGCCAAACCCUCAGGGCUCUAUUUUAUCUUUUCUUAGACCUUGAUGGUUUUUUUAAAUUUACACUUUAUCACUUUAUUUUAUGCAUGCCUUUGUGUCUCAAAGUUGAACAUAUACAAAAAUUGUUAAAAGCCAUGUCAGAUCCUAUUUCAAGCGCUACUUACUACAUUAAAUUUAGGAAUUCUGUUACAUAUUUGACUCCUGUGGAUCCUAACAGAAAAAUUACAAUCUCUAUUUGUAUCUUUAGCAACAAUACUCUGAGCAUAUUUGCAAGUUCAAGAUCAUUUUAUAAACAUAAAAUUGUGUCGAUAAUGUAUCUUAAAUGAAGGAGAACAUCUUUGAUGUACAAGACCCCUCACCAUGAUUUCACUUCUACCAGUAGCCUUUAGCUUACUACCUGUGGUACAGUAAGUUUCAGAUGAUAUACUAAAACUCAAGCAAAAAAUAUUACCAUGAGAUUAAAAAUGAGAAAUGAAUUUAAAGUGUUGUUAGGUAACCAUUAUCUUAAGAGGUAUAAUACCAGAUUAGCAGAGAGAACAAAGCCUGAAAUGACUUCCUGAGGACCCAAUACUUCCAAAAUUCUAAUAGGAAAAUGUAAGAGCCUUUUCCUUUUAAACAUUUUCUAACUGCAAUUUCCCAGGCUUUAAAAAGUUAAUGUGUUUCUUCAGCCAAAGCCAUCACAUUUCAAGUGUACACGUGAGAAAGUGGCCAGAGUGAAGGGGUUGACCUGAGUCACGUGGGACCAAGAACUUGAAUCAGGGAAAAGUCCCAACGUUCAGCAUUCAACGGUCCC
rnacentral:lncRNA from 1 species